AUGGACAUUUAGCAUUCAACACUUUUUAAAAUAACCCGAUGUGCCCCAGGUGGCAUAGUUGUUGGGAAUACAAUGUACAAAACCAUGGAUGUUUUGGUCCCUGCCCAGAUGCAAAGUGCUAAGUGAGGGAAACAGACAAUAAGGACACAGGACUGUAAAAUAAGAGGAUAGCCUAUCAUGGGUCCUGAAUCACAGUGUUCCAUUGAUAGCAGAACAGAUACAGAAAAGGCUAGAGUCCAGGAAAGAGCCAGGCAGAUGGAGGAUAGCACUGGGAAGAGCACACACAAAUUCUUGGAGGUUGAAAAAACAAACAAACAAACAAACAACAACAACAAACCUUGAGAUGUUCCAAGAACAGUCAAGAAGCAAGAAUGAGGAAUCGGAACUGGUGGGGAAAAUGAGAAAUACUGACAUCACAGAGGAACCUCAGAACUGUUCUUGUCACAUGGGCAUGGCAACAAGUCUGGAUUUCUUCCUCAGUGAAAUGGAUAUCCAGUGAAGCAUUUUAAGGGAGCGGAGAGGACCUGAUGGGAUUUAUUACUUUAAAAGGUCACUCUGGCUGCAAUAUGAAGGGUAGAAAGGAGAGAACAGAAGUGCCAGCAAAGUAUCCGGUUAGGAGCCUAGUACCGUCACCCAGGGGAAGGCUGAUGGAGGCUCUGCCCAGGAAGGUGGCAGAGGGGAUGAGGGCAACCUGGACCAGGACUUACUGCUCUCUCCUUUGUCAGCGGAGGAAUCCAACUUGGUGAAGAUCAGAGAAUCCAAAUCCCUUGGAAUGCAG
rnacentral:lncRNA from 1 species